rnacentral:tRNA from 1 species
CUCUCGGUAGCCAAGUUGGUGUUGGU